GACGAACGCUGGCGGCGUGCUUAACACAUGCAAGUCGAACGGAAAGGCCCUGCUUUUGUGGGGUGCUCGAGUGGCGAACGGGUGAGUAACACGUGAGUAACCUGCCCUUGACUUUGGGAUAACUUCAGGAAACUGGGGCUAAUACCGGAUAGGAGCUCCUGCUGCAUGGUGGGGGUUGGAAAGAUUCGGCGGUUGGGGAUGGACUCGCGGCUUAUCAGCUUGUUGGUGGGGUAGUGGCUUACCAAGGCUUUGACGGGUAGCCCGCCUGGGAGGGUGACCGGCGACCUGGGGACUGAGGUACGGACCAGACUCCAACGGGAGGCAGCAGUGGAGAAUAUUGCACAGUGGGCGGAAGCCUGAUGCAGAGGCGCCGCGUGCGGGAUGACGGCCUUCGGGUUGUAAACCGCUUUCGCCUGUGACGAAGCGUGAGUGACGGUAAUGGGUAAAGAAGCACCGGCUAACUACGUG
rnacentral:rRNA from 1 species